CUUUCCCAGCUGGCAGUGCCCAGUGAUAUUAUGUGUAUUGAUGGAGAUAUUAUGUGUAUUGAUGGAGAUAUUUGUGUAUUGAUGGAGAUAUAAUGUGUAUUGACGGAGAUAUGUGUGUAUUGAUGGAGAUAUUAUGUGUAUUGAUGGAGAUAUUAUGUGUAUUGAUGGAUAUAUGUGUAUUGAUGGAGAUAUUAUGUGUAUUGAUAGAGAUAUAAUGUGUAUUGAUGGAGAUAUGUGUGUAUUGAUGGAGAUAUUAUGUGUAUUGAUGGAGAUAUUAUGUGUAUUGAUGGAGAUAUUAUGUGUAUUGAUGGAGAUAUGUGUGUAUUGAUGGAGAUAUCAUGUGUAUUGAUGGAGAUAUUAUGUUUAUUGAUGGAGAUAUUAUGUGUAUUGAUGGAGAUAUGUGUGUACAGGCUGGCAGUGACUUUCUGGGAAAUGACAGAGCAGAGCAAGCCUCAACAUUAUAGCAGCUGCUGCUGGAUGCAUGGAUGGAACCACACUCUGCCUAAACGCACCCAGGGGGAGGGCGUGUGUUGUUGGGGGUUAGUGUGUGCAUGCGUAUGUGUGUGUGCUUGACCAGAGAGGGCAGGCUGGGACAGAGAGGGGUGGGACAUGUUUUCAUGGGCAAAUGGGCCCCAAAGCACACAGUAACAAAUUGAAGCGGAAAAAACGGUUCAUGGAUAAGAAAAAAAAGAGCAAGAGAAAAGGAUUUGGGGUUAUGGAAUGGAUAUAAGCAACAAUGGACUGAGAAAGAGAGGGAAACUCUUGUUAAAGGGAUGGCAGCUGCUUUUAUUGUUUUGGUAUUAUGACUAUGUUUACUGUCAAUGAAUGGGCUCUACAUUCAGACCCUACUCUCUAAAGCAGUCCCAAUGAAGACAGAGUCUUCCAAUCUGCAUACAGAGGCCAGAGCUAUACACAAACAGGGCCCCAGGGUACUCCACACAUGCCCUCUACCCAUGUGGGACCACGACAUGCCAAGGCCCGAGAAUGGGCUGAUCAAUUGCUUAAUGGGUAAAUGUAUGCCUACUGUAUAUGUAAGGUAAGAUACCAUCAAUGUGCACAGUGGGUACUGGACAAAGGCAGCAGUCUUCUAGCUUGUACUCAGAGACCCCAGCUAUUGACUAGGGUCAGUCUUUGAUCUAUUCUACCCAUCCAUGUCAACACUAUGUAUUCUCUUUACACUUCUAUGACCAUGUUUAUCCCGUUAAUGAUCUUCUCUCUAACCAUGUGACUACAGAUGAGUACAAG
rnacentral:lncRNA from 13 species